rnacentral:lncRNA from 1 species
CCUAGAAAAGUCGUCUGCACAGAGCAGGGCAUGGCCUGCAUUCCAAAUUUUGUUAUUCUCAAAGGUCAGUUGUUCUCAGUGGCAGACAACAGAAGCCAAGACUUGCUAAGUAAAACAGAAGACAAAUUUGCUGGAAGGACAUGUGAAAAUGGGCACAAAUUAGGAAGCAAGGUCAUACUUGCAUCACUGCUGUUAGGCUGCUACCACUGACUCCUCUGCUCCUGCACUCCCAAAAGCACCAUCAAGAAAAACCCCACAGACAUAUCAGGAAUACUGAGACAACUAUUACUACAAAACUGUAUAAUUCA